rnacentral:rRNA from 1 species
CCUACGGGGUGCAGCAGUGGGGAAUAUUGCGCAAUGGGCGAAAGCCUGACGCAGCGACGCCGCGUGAGGGAUGAAGGUCUUCGGAUCGUAAACCUCUGUCAGUAGGGAAGAACGGUCACUGUGCUAAUCAGCAGUGAAUUGACGGUACCUGCAAAGGACGCACCGGCUAACUCCGUGCCAGCAGCCGCGGUAAUACGGAGGGUGCGAGCGUUAAUCGGAAUUACUGGGCGUAAAGCGCUCGUAGGCGGUAUGUCAAGUCAAGGGUGAAAUCCCCGCGCUCAACGUGGGAACUGCCUUUGAAACUGGCAAGCUGGAGUGUGUGAGAGGAGAGUGGAAGUCCAGGUGUAGGAGUGAAAUCCGUAGAUAUCUGGAGGAACAUCAGUGGCGAAGGCGACUAUCUGGCACAUAACUGACGCUGAGGAGCGAAAGCGUGGGUAGCAAACAGGAUUAGAUACCCCUGUAGUC